CACGCCUGUCCUGAGUGUCUCCAAAGGGAGGGCUGCAUGCACGGAGGAUCUGACUCACUUCGCUGCGCGGAAAACUUCGGAUUGCCACUCAUUAUCGCACCCGAGCAGGGACUGUUUUUUUUUUUUUUUUUGCUCGCUUAGGAGGAAUCCGAGGUGUAGAGAAUCAAAGAGGGUGGACAGGCAGGUAAGCGAUGGAGAGGUGGAGGUAAAGAAUUCAUAAGGCAGCAACCAGGAGGACUGUAGGGCAGCUGUGAAUCCAGGAAGGUCGUCCAGGAAGUAGUUCACACAGUCAACACUAUCUUCAGGAAUGAAUCUCCAGAGUUCAAAACAAAACGUCCAAUGUUCUUCCGGAGGCUCUGGAUCAAGGUCCUCUUUAAGCUCCUCCUGAUGAUUGCAAUGAACUGCAGCGGCAGUGGCCGCACCUGCUGGUCACACCCUGGAAGGAGGUGAGAGAGAAGAACAACCCAAACAACUCGUGCAAAGAUCAGUGAUAUGACACUCCCAAGAUUCUGAUGAUAACUCUGGAGGAGCUGCAAAGAUCCACAGAGCUCAGGAACCAGUUCCCUUGUUCAGUUCCUGGCUUCCUGUACUCUGCUUCUUCCUUCCUUGUGAUUAUUGGAGAAAUCCCCUCAAGACUCUUCCCAUGAAUUUCCUCAUGGCCCUUUUGGUUGCCCUGCUGUUACAAGCUUUUGGAUUCCUUCGACAGCAACGCUCAUUCACCUGCUUGUCCAUGCUCCAGCAUUCCUCCAUCCACUGAUCUCAUACACUGGAAAGAAACAAUGAAGGAAACAAUAAACCAGCCACCAUUCACACUUGUCAACCUUAGACUUUGUGGAUAAGACUUGCCUUCCCUGGAACUCCAUCACCACCUUCAACAAUAAGAACCUCUCAAUAUCAAUUAUACAACAUUAUUAAUCAUUUCCAAUCUUAGACAACAACCACUUACUUCUCCUUCUCCUUCUCAGUGCUGAUCUGGACCUUCCACCUUAAACCUGGUAACAUGCACAUAGUUUCAAUAAACCUUUCAAACUCU